CAGUAGCCACGGGAAUACGGAGGGGGCUAGCGUUGCUCGGAAUUACUGGGCGUAAAGCGCACGUAGGCGGCUUGGUAAGUUAGAGGUGAAAGCCUGGAGCUCAACUCCAGAAUUGCCUUUAAGACUGCCGAGCUAGCAGGUGAGAGAGGUAAGUGGAAUUCCGAGUGUAGAGGUGAAAUUCGUAGAUAUUCGGAAGAACACCAGUGGCGAAGGCGGCUUACUGGCUCAUACUGGACGCUGAGGUGCGAAAGCGUGGGGAGCAAACAGGAUUAGAUACCCCGGUAGUCCCUGUCUCUUAUAC
rnacentral:rRNA from 1 species